AUUGAACGCUGGCGGCAGGCCUAACACAUGCAAGUCGAGCGGAUGAGUGGAGCUUGCUCCAUGAUUCAGCGGCGGACGGGUGAGUAAUGCCUAGGAAUCUGCCUGGUAGUGGGGGACAACGUUUCGAAAGGAACGCUGAUACCGCAUACGUCCUACGGGAGAAAGUGGGGGAUCUUCGGACCUCACGCUAUCAGAUGAGCCUAGGUCGGAUUAGCUAGUUGGUGAGGUAAAGGCUCACCAAGGCGACGAUCCGUAACUGGUCUGAGAGGAUGAUCAGUCACACUGGAACUGAGACACGGUCCAGACUCCUACGGGAGGCAGCAGUGGGGAAUAUUGGACAAUGGGCGAAAGCCUGAUCCAGCCAUGCCGCGUGUGUGAAGAAGGUCUUCGGAUUGUAAAGCACUUUAAGUUGGGAGGAAGGGCAGUAAGUUAAUACCUUGCUGUUUUGACGUUACCAACAGAAUAAGCACCGGCUAACUUCGUGCCAGCAGCCGCAGUAAGAC
rnacentral:rRNA from 1 species